CUGCAGCAUCAAUCUGUACUCUGCAACAUCUGGGAGGAGACUCCUGGACACCUCCAUCACCUACCACACGGACCCCAGUGGUGGGCGGCCAGAGAGACUCUAUGUACACGCGUUCCUGAAGAAAGAUGACUCUGUUGGCUACCGGGUCUUGGUACAGACUGAGGAUCAUGCCCUGACCUUCAUUCAGCAGCCAGGGAGGGUGCUGUGGUCCAGGGAAGAGGCUCUGGCAGAGGUCGUUACCAUGGAGAUGGUGGAUCU